rnacentral:rRNA from 1 species
UACGAAGGGGGCAAGCGUUGUUCGGAAUUAUUGGGCGUAAAGGGCUCGUAGGCGGUUUGUCGCGUCGGGAGUGAAAACUCAGGGCUUAACCCUGAGCCUGCUUCCGAUACGGGCAGACUAGAGGUAUGCAGGGGAGAAUGGAAUUCCUGGUGUAGCGGUGAAAUGCGCAGAUAUCAGGAGGAACACCGGUGGCGAAGGCGGUUCUCUGGGCAUUACCUGACGCUGAGGAGCGAAAGUGUGGGGAGCGAACAGG